CUGGAGCUGGCUCAGUGGUAGAGUGCUUGCCUUGCAUGCAUGAGUUCCUGGGUUCGAUUCCUCAGCACCACA
rfam:Dipodomys ordii contig_87769, whole genome shotgun sequence.